rnacentral:lncRNA from 1 species
GCCCCUUCCCCAAGCUCUUGAUAGCCAUGUUGGACAACUUCAAACACCUCUUGAAAUCCAAAGAUGGCCUUCAUUUGAUUCCUCCAUCGAUCAUAAUUCUUGCCAUCCAAGAUGGGAAGUGUUAAUGAGAAUCCUCCAUUGCUUGUCAUCCCUGCUACACUCUGCUGCUGUUGAUCACGAAGAUGCACACCCACACAGGUCCCUC